rnacentral:rRNA from 1 species
AAUCACUGGUGUUCGGGUUGUCAUGCCAAUGGCAUUGCCCGGUAGCUAAAUUCGGAAGAGAUAACCGCUGAAAGCAUCUAAGCGGGAAACUUGCCUCGAGAUGAGUCUUCCCUGGGCUUUAAGCCCCUGAAGGAACGUUAAGACUAUGACGUUGAUAGGCUGGGUGUGUAAGUGCAGCGAUGCAUUGAGCUAACCAGUACUAAUGAUCCGUGAGGCUUAACCUUACAACACCGAAGG